rnacentral:rRNA from 1 species
GGUAUCCUGAGUAGCGCGGGACACGAGGAAUCUUGCGUGAAUCUGCCGGGACCAUCCGGUAAGGCUAAAUACUCCCGUGAGACCGAUAGCGAACGAGUACUGUGAAGGAAAGGUGAAAAGAACCCCGAGCAGGGGAGUGAAAUAGUUCCUGAAACCAUGUGCCUACAAGCGGUCGGAGCAUCUUACGAUGUGACGGCGUGCCUUUUGCAUAAUGAUCCUACGAGUUACCGUCACUGGCGAGGUUGAGUGUCAUGAGACACGUAGCCGCAGUGAAAGCGAGCCUGAAUAGGGCGCACAGUCAGUGGGGGUAGACGCGAAACCAAGUGAUCUACACUUGGCCAGGAUGAAGUCCCGGUAACACGGGAUGGAGGUCCGCACCAAUAAGCGUUGAAAAGCUUCUGGAUGAGCCGAGUGUAGGAGUGAAAGGCCAAUCAAACUUGGAGAUAGCUCGUACUCCCCGAAAGGCAUUUAGGUGCCGCGUCGGAUGGUCACCGUGAGAGGUAGAGCGACCGAUAGGACAAGAGGGCUUCACCGCCUAUCGAGUCCUGACGAACUCCGAAUGCUCACGGUCUGCAGUCCGGCAGUAAGGGGGCGGGUGCUAAGGUCCGUCCCCGAGAGGAGAAGAAUCCAGACCGCCGUCUAAGGUCCCGGAGUUCUGCCUGAGUUAGUCUAACGAAGUCUGGUCCCUAUGACAGCUAGGAUGUUGGCUUGGAAGCAGCCAUUCAUUCAAAGAGUGCGUAACAGCUCACUAGUCGAGGGUCCGGGCAUGGAUAAUAAUCGGGUAUAAGGCAGACACCGAAGGCGCGGGAUAGCAAUUAUAAAAGUAUCGGUAGGGGAGCAUACUCACAGCGUGGAAUGGUGUACGUAAGUUAUCCUGGAGCGGUGAGUAAAGCAAAUGUAGGAAUAAGUAACGAUAAGGAGGGUUAGAUUCCCUCCCGCUGUAAGACCAAGGUUUCCCGGGCAAUGCCAAUCAGCCCGGGGUCAGUCGGGUCCUAAGUCUAAGCCGAACGGCGAUGGCGAUGGCAGAGACGGUUAAUAUUCCGUCACUGCCGCAUGGGGCGACGUGGAGACGGAGCAGUGAAACCACCGCGGGGCGACGGAAGUCCCCGUUGAAGAGUGUAGGUGUUGAGGAUGGCAGGCAAAUCCACCAUCCGAGCUGAACUUGACAGUAUGGAGUCUUCUCCGGAAGAAUCCAAUAGUGUGGGUAAUCAUACUCCCGAGAAAAUCCGCUAAGCUUAACCCAUGCGGCACCCGUACCGCAAACGGACACACGUGGUCGGGUAGAACAUACUAAGGCGUUGAGAGAUUCAUGGUUAAGGAACUAGGCAAAUUGACCCUGUAACUUCGGGAUAAAGGGUCCUCGUGAUGAGCGAGGCGCAGAGAAUAGGUCCAGGCAACUGUUUAACAAAAACACAGGGCUGUGCAAACUCGAAAGAUGACGUAUACAGCCUGACACCUGCCCGGUGCCGGAAGGUUAAGAGGAGAUGUCACCAGCAAUGGGAAGCAUUGAAUUGAAGCCCCGGUAAACGGCGGCCGUAACUAUAACGGUCCUAAGGUAGCGAAAUUCCUUGUCGGGUAAGUUC